CUCUGAAGAAACUUUUCCUGCCUCUCUCUCUCUCUCUCUCUUUUUUUUUUUUCCUUUCUUCCCUCUGUCCCCACCUCCAGCCCAAGCUUGGCCAGCCUCUCCGGCUCUGACAGCUCUUAAAGGGAAAGUUACAGGGCUAUGAUUUCACACUGGGGCAGUAAAUUCUCACGGAAGGAGCCGGGGCCAUCCUGCCAAGCCUACGAAGGGAAUACGGGAGCACGCACGGCUGCUCGGCAGUGGUGUAGGUUUGCGCGAGGGAGUUCGUGACCCCAACGGUGACUCCGACGGUCUCUCCAUUUGUCGGCCUCGGACUGGGCCUCUCACCCGAUUCUGGCCAGUAAGACAUAGAGAGAAAUCUGCUGGGGGCUCCUAGAAGGGAUGGCAUCCCUUGGGAGGAGAAAAAAAAAACAACAACGGUCUACUCAUUUUCUUCUUAACUUGUGCGCAAAGUUGAUGGCUGGAGCCACAGCAGUCAUAUCGAGUACGUGAGGCACAAGCUUGAGGAUGAAAAGCCAACGUGCCGAGGCUGGAGGAGCAGAAAAGAGAAGAGGUUGGGUCUUUGGGGUUUUGUAGUGUUACUGCACCAAACCUGGAACAGCUACCUCGAGGUUCAGCGAACCCCUGAUGGACACCGUCGGCCCUGUGCCAUGAGAUCUCUCAUGACCGUAAGGUAGACGGAGUGGAAACUCAGAGAUGCUAAGUGAUUUCAGGGCACGCGCCAAGCCAGGGUCAGGCCUGGGGCCGGGACCACAGUCUCUGGACCGUGACGAGACAGAGUCCGGACGGGGCACUUCCAAGCGAACAAGUUGACCUGCCAGCUCCUGUCGGUGUUCUCUGAUGGGAGCCGCGCGGAACCCCGAGACCGCGACAAGCAGUUGGAACUGACAACCCCGAAGCAUGAUACCGUGCUGGUCCCUCGUGCCUGCUGGUGAAGCCCCCAGUGGCCCGGCCGGCCCCGCUGCAGGUGGCUGUUCUUCAGCCCCGGUGACACCUGGAGGGCGGUGACACGGUGACUCGGGCCGAGUGGCGGGUUAGGAAGCAAGACCCCUGAGGUACCCCCACGGUUCCGCCGCUUCCCGGGGGGGCCUUGGGCAACCGGCAACAUCUCUGCACCUCGGUUUCCCUUGUUUAAAGAAACAGGAUUGCGUUAGCGCCUCACCUACAGGGUCAUCAGGGGCCCUGAAGGAGGCGGUGAGGUGUGGCCACCCGUGGUCGGAGGAGUCAGAACGGGCGGCAGCCGAGGCCGGUAUGAUGGGGUCGUCCUACGUCCAUCCUGUUCCCGGGAUUCAGCAUCUCGAACGAUCUCACAGGGCGGCCUGGGUAUGUGCCUGGGUUCACCCUCGGCGAAUGGGGGCCAGGCACUUCCCACACACGAGCCGGACAAACUCAAAACGACUGGCUGGUGGUGACGGGGACACCAGCUGCCGCUUGUGACGCAUCCGUCACGUCCCAGCGACACUUGCUACCUCGCCGCAUCCCCAUCUUGGUUCAUCCUCGCGGCUGACAUCUCACUGUCAUUGUCCCCUUUUGCAGAUGAGGAAACUGAGGCCUGGCCGCGGCCACUCAGCUGGUGCAGGGCAAAACUGGGAUCGGAACUCACACCCGUGUGGCUUCGAAACAAGCUCUUUUUUCAAGUAGACCAAGGUGCCUCACGUGUUGAACGAGGAGAUGAGUCAACACAGAAAGGAAUGAGCACGGUAGAAGGACAGGCAGACGGACAGACGGAUGCACGCGUGGGGAGAUGAAACCCCUGUCUGAAACAUUCCGGCUCCCAGGCUUUCCCGGGCUGGGCUCCACAUCUCCGUUUUCCACACCCCGUCUCCUUCCCCAACCACUCUGCCAACACAGGCCCUGGUUGGUCUCGCAGACUGUGAGGUCCGAGGGCCACAGCAGACCCACAUCUUCCUCUGUGCUGUGUCCCCAGAAGCCACACAGAUUCCGGCAUAGCACGUGCCUGAGGCCUACUGUGGGUGGGAGGUCACAUGAGCACAUGAGCAGAUGGAGAGGUGGUGAGGGAUGUAUGGGUUUGAUGAAGGAAGGAA